rnacentral:rRNA from 1 species
AGCGAACGCUGGCGGCAGGCUUAACACAUGCCAGUCGAGCGGGCCCUUCGGGGUCAGCGGCAGACGGGUGAGUAACACGUGGGAACGUACCCUUUGGUUCGGAAUAACGCUGGGAAACUAGCGCUAAUACCGGAUACGCCCUUUUGGGGAAAGGCUUGCUGCCGAAGGAUCGGCCCGCGUCUGAUUAGCUAGUUGGUGGGGUAAUGGCCUACCAAGGCGACGAUCAGUAGCUGGUCUGAGAGGAUGAUCAGCCACACUGGGACUGAGACACGGCCCAGACUCCUACGGGAGGCAGCAGGGGGGAAUAUUGGACAAUGGGCGCAAGCCUGAUCCAGCCAUGCCGCGUGAGUGAUGAAGGCCUUAGGGUUGUAAAGCUCUUUUGUCCGGGACGAUAAUGACGGUACCGGAAGAAUAAGCCCCGGCUAACUUCGU